rnacentral:rRNA from 1 species
UACAGAGGGGGCAAGCGUUGUUCGGAAUUACUGGGCGUAAAGGGCGCGUAGGCGGCCUUCUAAGUCGAACGUGAAAUCCCCGGGCUCAACCCGGGAACUGCGUCCGAUACUGGAAGGCUUGAAUUCGGGAGAGGGAUGCAGAAUUCCAGGUGUAGCGGUGAAAUGCGUAGAUAUCUGGAGGAAUACCGGUGGCGAAGGCGGCAUCCUGGACCGAGAUUGACACUGAGGAGCGAAAGCCAGGGGAGCAAACGGG